AUGUUAGCGGCGGACGGGUGAGUAACACGUGGGUAACCUGCCUGUAAGACUGGGAUAACUCCGGGAAACCGGGGCUAAUACCGGAUGGUUGUUUGAACCGCAUGGUUCAAACAUAAAAGGUGGCUUCGGCUACCACUUACAGAUGGACCCGCGGCGCAUUAGCUAGUUGGUGAGGUAACGGCUCACCAAGGCAACGAUGCGUAGCCGACCUGAGAGGGUGAUCGGCCACACUGGGACUGAGACACGGCCCAGACUCCUACGGGAGGCAGCAGUAGGGAAUCUUCCGCAAUGGACGAAAGUCUGACGGAGCAACGCCGCGUGAGUGAUGAAGGUUUUCGGAUCGUAAAGCUCUGUUGUUAGGGAAGAACAAGUACCGUUCGAAUAGGGCGGUACCUUGACGGUACCUAACCAGAAAGCCACGGCUAACUACGUGCCAGCAGCCGCGGUAAUACGUAGGUGGCAAGCGUUGUCCGGAAUUAUUGGGCGUAAAGGGCUCGCAGGCGGUUUCUUAAGUCUGAUGUGAAAGCCCCCGGCUCAACCGGGGAGGGUCAUUGGAAACUGGGGAACUUGAGUGCAGAAGAGGAGAGUGGAAUUCCACGUGUAGCGGUGAAAUGCGUAGAGAUGUGGAGGAACACCAGUGGCGAAGGCGACUCUCUGGUCUGUAACUGACGCUGAGGAGCGAAAGCGUGGGGAGCGAACAGGAUUAGAUACCCUGGUAGUCC
rnacentral:rRNA from 1 species